UACGAAGGGGGCUAGCGUUGUUCGGAAUUACUGGGCGUAAAGGGCGCGUAGGCGGCCUGCUAAGUCGAACGUGAAAUCCCUGGGCUCAACCCAGGAACUGCGUCCGAUACUGGUUGGCUUGAAUCCGGGAGAGGGACGUGGAAUUCCAGGUGUAGCGGUGAAGUGCGUAGAUAUCUGGAGGAACACCGGUGGCGAAGGCGACGUCCUGGACCGGCAUUGACGCUGAGGCGCGAAAGCCAGGGGAGCAAACGGG
rnacentral:rRNA from 1 species